UUGAACGCUGGCGGCAUGCCUUACACAUGCAAGUCGAACGGUAACAGGUCUUCGGAUGCUGACGAGUGGCGAACGGGUGAGUAAUACAUCGGAACGUGCCCGAUCGUGGGGGAUAACGCAGCGAAAGCUGUGCUAAUACCGCAUACGAUCUACGGAUGAAAGCGGGGGAUCGCAAGACCUCGCGCGGACGGAGCGGCCGAUGGCAGAUUAGGUAGUUGGUGGUAUAAAAGCUUACCAAGCCGACGAUCUGUAGCUGGUCUGAGAGGACGACCAGCCACACUGGGACUGAGACACGGCCCAGACUCCUACGGGAGGCAGAAGUGGGGAAUUUUGGACAAUGGGCGAAAGCCUGAUCCAGCCAUGCCGCGUGCAGGAUGAAGGCCUUCGGGUUGUAAACUGCUUUUGUACGGAACGAAAAAGUCUUCUCUAAUACAGGGGGCGAAUGACGGUACCGUAAGAAUAAGCACCGGCUAACUACGU
rnacentral:rRNA from 1 species